UACGUAGGGUGCGAGCGUUAAUCGGAAUUACUGGGCGUAAAGCGUGCGCAGGCGGUUUUGUAAGCCAGAUGUGAAAGCCCCGGGCUCAACCUGGGAAUGGCAUUUGGGACUGCAAGGCUGGAGUUUGGCAGAGGAGACUGGAAUUCCUGGUGUAGCAGUGAAAUGCGUAGAGAUCAUGAGGAAGACCAGUGGCGAAGGCGGGUCUCUGGACAGUUCCUGACACUGAGGCACGAAGGCCAGGGGAGCAAACGGG
rnacentral:rRNA from 1 species